GACGAACGCUGGCGGCGUGCCUAAUACAUGCAAGUAGAACGCACAGGAUGCACCGUAGUUUACUACGCCGUAUUCUGUGAGUUGCGAACGGGUGAGUAACGCGUAGGUAACCUGCCUGGUAGCGGGGGAUAACUAUUGGAAACGAUAGCUAAUACCGCAUAAGAACAUUUACUGCAUGGUAGAUGUUUAAAAGGUGCAAAUGCAUCACUACCAGAUGGACCUGCGUUGUAUUAGCUAGUAGGUGAGGUAACGGCUCACCUAGGCGACGAUACAUAGCCGACCUGAGAGGGUGAUCGGCCACACUGGGACUGAGACACGGCCCAGACUCCUACGGGAGGCAGCAGUAGGGAAUCUUCGGCAAUGGGGGGAACCCUGACCGAGCAACGCCGCGUGAGUGAAGAAGGUUUUCGGAUCGUAAAGCUCUGUUGUUAAGGAAGAACGAGUGUGAGAAUGGAAAGUUCAU
rnacentral:rRNA from 1 species